rnacentral:piRNA from 1 species
UAGACAGUGUGGCCGACAUCAACCGCAGAC